rnacentral:snoRNA from 1 species
GGCGGACUGAAUGAAAGUCAAACUUUAAUGUAGAAAAUCGCUGGAACUGAUAAGA